AAACUUUCAACUUCUCAAGUUAAGCUACUCACUCAAUCCACAGCCAACCAACCACCGCAAUGUCCACCGCACAGCCACCGCAAGAAACCCUAAUCCCCUCCCUCCCAAACGACGUCGCUAUAAACAUCCUAGCUCGAAUCCCCCGCUCUCUCCACCCAAUUCUCGCCUCCGUCUCCAAAUCCAUACGCGCCCUCCUCUCCUCCCCUCUCCUCUACACCACACGCGCCAUCCUCAACUCCUCCCAGCCGUCCCUCUGCCUCGCCCUCCGCGUCCCCUCCACGCGCUCCCUCCUCUUCUAUACGCUCCACCAGUCCCCCCACCGUCAGCAACCUCUCCUCGCCCCCCUCCCCCCACUCCCAUCCCCGCCUCUCGUCGGCUCCGCUGUCGCCGUCGUCGGUCACAUUUUCUACCUCAUCGGGGGGUCCGUCGACGAUGUGCCGUCCUCGCACGUGUGGGCCCUCGACUGCCGGCUAAACACGUGGGAAAGAGCCCCCAGCAUGCGCGUGGCGCGCGAGUUCCCGGCGGCCGGAGUGGUGGACGGUAAAGUGUAUGUCCUCGGCGGGUGUUUAGUGGACACGUGGUCAAAAAGCAGAAACUGGGCAGAAGUUUUCGACCCGAAAACUGACACAUGGCAGCCUGUGGUUCACACUGAGUGUGAUGUGCGUGACAAAUGGAUGCACGCAAGUGUUGUAAUAGGGGGCAAAGUUUAUGCAAUGGCUGAUAGAGGUGGGGUGAAGUUUGAUCCCAAAGAGAUGAGUUGGGAGAGUGUGGAGAGUGAAUUGGAUUUGGGAUGGAGAGGGAGGGGGUGUGUAGUGGAUGGAGUGUUGUAUUGCUAUGAUUAUUUGGGGAAAAUUAGGGGUUUUGAUAGCGGUGUGUGGCGGGAGGUUAAGGGGGUGGUGGGAGGGAAGGGGGUGAAGAAGGGUUUGUCAUUGCCGCGGUUUUUGUGCGGCGCAACGAUGGCGAAUGUAGGGGGCAAGUUAGUGGUGGUGUGGGAGGGGAGAGGAGGAAGUGAGGUCGAGGUUUGGUGUGCUGAAAUUGAUGUGGAGAGGGGUGAGGGUGGGGAGUUGUGGGGAAGGAUUUUGUGGUGUAAUGUGGUGCUUAAGGUUCCUGAGGGGUCGACGAUUGUGAAUUGCGCGGCAGUCACAGUGUAAAUGUUUGAGUAAUUUUGUUGGUUUGGAAGGGUGAAAAUGGAGCUGGGCAAAGCCCUCAUCUGCUCGUUGGCUGGUCCAAUCUUACAGAGGGUUUGAAGAAAGCUAUUUCGGUUUCAGAGUUCUUCCACGUAGCAAACCACUCAUUUUCCCACCAUAAACGCUUCAUCACCUUCACAAUUCCCAAACCCCUUCUCUCAUCACUACCACCUCCUCCUAGUCGCCGUUCUCGACUCACCCGUCCAGCCAAUGAUUCACCUCGAGUUUCUCUCAUGUUCGUUCCCAAAAACCGCCACCACGACUGGAUUUUCUCCACCGAGUUGUUUGAUUUGAUAUUAUUUUGAGCAGAGAGCAUUGCCCAUACGAAUUUUAACGGUUGGGAAAAAGAGGUCAACUGUUGUGCAGUUAUUAGUGGAGGAGUAUGUUGGGAAAGCUCAAACAUUAUUGUAGUGUUGAUGACGCUCAAGUUCGAUCCAAUCCUAAAAACGCACGGUGUUUAAGUUACGCCUGCUUUUCUUGUGCUUCUUUAAUUCAAAAUUUAAAUUUUUUGAAUUUUAGUGAUGUGAAGGCUCAGGGUUGAGGAUGAGGAUGAGGAUGAGGAUGCGGCGGUGGUGAACCUUAUCAGCUCUGAUGAUUGGGUUGUGUUGUUCGAUGAGACUGGUGUAAACAUCGGAUAUGAACAGAUGGCUGAGUUACUGGGGGAUGCAGAUUUCUUUUUAAGUGUUUUAAAUUUUUAGUUAACUCAUUGUUAAGAGUGUGCUUUCCUUUGUAGUUUUUUUUUUUUUUUUUUUUUUUUUUGGACAUUGAAAUGUUAGCUGAUAGUUUUAUUUCAUCAAGGAUCACAAGGUUGUACCUACGCCAACUCAUACCAAACCGAGGGACAACUUGUCUUGAAUGUACAGCACCAAAACAUUGCAGAAGGUAUAAGGAAACCCCAGUGACUUGACCUUUCUUUUCCACUUCAUUAAUAUCGUCGAAUCACUAUUUGCAGACUCAUAUCUUCGAGGCGUUAAAGAUUUUUUUUUUUUUUUCU